AUUUUUUGUGGAAUUUUUUGGGGAUAUUUUUGGGAUAUUUCAGGGAAUUUUUUGGGAUUUUUUUGCGGAAUUUUUGGGGGGAUUUUCUGUGGAUGUUUUUGUAUUUUUUGUGAUUUUUUGGGAAUUUUUUUUAAUUUUUGGGGAACCUUUGGGGACUUUUUGGGGAAUUUUUGGGGAUUUUUUGGGGAAUUUUUGGGGAAUUUUGGGGAUUUUUUGGGGAAUUUUUGGGGAAUUUUGGGGGGAUUUUUUUGGGAAUUUUUUGGGAAAUUUUGGAAACAUUUUUGGGUAUUUUUGGGGGAAUUUUUGGGGGAAUUUUUUGGGAAUUUUUUUGGGUUUAACUGGGCCAAGGCGCCCUCUUGUGGACAUCGAGGGAGUUGCAGAAAACAGCCCCGAAAAUUCCCAAAAUUUGGGAAUUUAUUGGGGAAAAAUUGGGGGAAAAUCAGGAAAUUUUAUGAGAAUUUUUUGGGAUUUUUAGGGAAUUAUUUGGGUAUUUUUUUGGGAUUUUUAUGA
rnacentral:lncRNA from 1 species